UCCAAAGGAAAAGGUCAAAGAAGCUCCUAUCAAGAAAGAGGCUGCUGCACCAAAGGAAAAGGCCAAACCAGUCAUCUUGCACAAAGAACAAGAAGGCCCUGGCAGAAAUGUCUCUCUGGUGAAAGAGAGAGUCAAAGUAGUGCCUAUGAGGAGAG